GGUUCCAGCUCUUUAAAAGGGGCCAGCCCUCUGCAUACCCAUAGGCCUUUGCAAACCCCCAGCCCACAUUGCCUGUAAACUGCCCAUUUUACACACCCGUUCUUAUCCCUUUUGCCUGCUUCCCUAUGGAAUCUUUGUCCUUCUACCCGAUACAAGCAGCUGGCUUAUAGUGGGGCAGCAGGAUGACCUGCUGCUCUCCCAUACUGCCAGCAGUAUUGGAAUAGACGUUCAUAUAUGAUUCGACCCUGUCUC